UAGGGAAUCUUCCACAAUGGACGCAAGUCUGAUGGAGCAACGCCGCGUGAGUGAAGAAGGUUUUCGGAUCGUAAAGCUCUGUUGUUGGUGAAGAAGGAUAGAGGCAGUAACUGGUCUUUAUUUGACGGUAAUCAACCAGAAAGUCACGGCUAACUACGUGCCAGCAGCCGCGGUAAUACGUAGGGGGCAAGCGUUGUCCGGAUUUAUUGGGCGUAAAGCGAGCGCAGGCGGAAUGAUAAGUCUGAUGUGAAAGCCCACGGCUCAACCGUGGAACUGCAUCGGAAACUGUCAUUCUUGAGUGCAGAAGAGGAGAGUGGAAUUCCAUGUGUAGCGGUGGAAUGCGUAGAUAUAUGGAAGAACACCAGUGGCGAAGGCGGCUCUCUGGUCUGCAACUGACGCUGAGGCUCGAAAGCAUGGGUAGCGAACAGG
rnacentral:rRNA from 1 species